UCAUGUGUUUCUGCCUUCCUUUGCCAAGCGUCGGCCUCAGAAAUUCCUAACUAGUUUCCCUAUUGCCAAAUGUUUUGCUGCUCCUUGAUUAGUCACGACCAAGAACCCCAUUUCUCUAUUUCCAGGAAACUUCUAGAAACCUUCCCAUCUUCUCUAACUCACUCAUGCUCCUCUCUCUCCUCCACCCCGAUCUCCCUCUUCCUCUCUACCACUCGGUCUCUCUCUCCUCUUCAUUCCACCGCACCACCGCUCCUCCGUCUUCACUUCCGCGAGUGUUGUUGUGCGAUGUCGUUGGUGCUGCUCCAUUGUUUCUCUCACCCUCUCGUCCUCCCCUCGUGCUGCCGCCGCCGCACUGAUGGCCACCAAAUCCACCACCACCGUGUUUCACCAUCAAUUGGUUGGAUGUGUGUACUCAGAUUUUCGCUGAUUUUGGUCUUUGAACCUGUCCUGGUGGGGGCAUGAGUUAAAAUGUUUUGCAGGCAGCGAGAAUCGAGUCUCAGUUAAGGUUCAAGGUGUGUAGAGUACUCCAGGUGCCUUAUAUGUUUCAAGGCGGGCUUAUGGAUUCUCCAAGUGUAUUUAAGUCUUUCCUAAUUUGUUAAUGGGUUGUAUUAUUUCUUUCUAAAGCUUUUUGGUUAAUAUUUAUGGAUUAUAUAUCCUUGUUGAGUUGGGUGUCACCCUAAUGAUGAUUUGGGAAAUGUUAUAUCUUGGAACGAAGUUAAAGCAGGUGAAAGAAAUUUGACAUAAUUUCCUAAACAAUAUUUUUAGGUUGUCCAUAUUUAGGGGAAGUGCUGCCGAAAUUUCUAAUAAUUAAUUAAGUUUAAUUAAGACUUAAUCUGUGAUUAAAUAUUUAAAGUUGUUUGAAGAGUUAAAGUUUGUUUAGCAGGGUUAAAGUUGUAAUUUCAUUGAGUUUGUUUAAAUUAAGACUAAGUGUGUUUAGAAAGCAGCUCGUUAAGGGCGGGUUGUUACAGGUGGUGUAUAUUUAUAGUUUUAAACUCGCUCUCAAAAUACUUCCUUUGAAACUAACUCGGGAUUAAGGUCGAUUGUUCGUAAUUUAAACUAUUCUUUGAAUUAAGGUAUCGAAUUUAGCUCCAAUUUAAAAAUUUGAAAAAACUAAUUCAUUUAAGGAAACAGGCCCGAAUUUUAAGCAAUUCUCAUUUUGCUUUUAAGUAUAAUUAUUUUCUUAAUCCCACUUUUACAACCGUUUAGAAACAAAUUCUAGUUUACAAUUUAAGUUUUUAGUAAAAAUUGGAUGUAAGUUUAUUAUUAUCUAUUAACUCAGUUUAAAGAUUAAUUUCCGAAUUGUUGCAACGACUUGGAAUUUUGGAAAUUUAUUAGAUUAAAUAUUUUAUUAUUUAAGUUAUUAUUGUUUUCUUUGACCUCGAAAAUUUAAUAUUAUGAUUCGCAUUUUAUUCAUUGAACUAGUGAAAUUAUUUUAUUUUAAUGAGUUACUCUUAUUAAGUCAAUGUAGCUGAUCGAAUUUUAUUUUAUAAGUUUGCCUAGUGUUUAAGUGAUUGUUAAUUAUGUUCUAAAUUUCUCUAGAAACUCACCCUCACCCCCUCUCUCACCCGACCUCACCCCCUCUCCUUCCCUUCACUCGAUUUUCUCUCUCCUUCCCUCUGCUUCUUUGCGCCGCCGCACCGUCAGCCUUGCCGGCCGUGCCGUUCUCACUAGCGGCGUUGGUGCGGUUGUUGAUGAGGUUGUUUGUUGGUUGUUGUUGUUUUGAUUUUGUUGUUGCUGCUCUUCUUUCUUGUCUCUCCUCCAUCUCCUCCUUGGUUCGCCGCCACCAUGGUGGUUGUUGUUGCUGUCGCUUCUACUACUUCAAGAAAUGGGUAAUUCUCUAGCCUUUUCUAUUAAUUAUUUGAGUUGAUCAAAACCCCAAUUAAGAAAACCCUAACCUCCGUUUCUUGAUUUCUCUCUCCUCUAUUGAGGUCUUGCGCCGCCUUCUCCCGCCGCCGGUGCCGUCCUCUCCAUCUUCCUGAGAUUGUUAUGGUGCGGACGUUGUUGUUGUUAUAUUUGCACUCCCCUGCUGCAUUUUCUCUCCUCAUGAUGCGGCUUCAACAAUCGCCUCCGCACCUCGACCGGAGCGCCACCUCUAGAGCUCUGCCGUGCUUCUAUCUCUAGUUGUUGUUGUUGCUAUUCCGUGCUUCCUAUUUCUCUGAAGGGUAUGACUCAGAUUCAACUAAUGUUUGUGUUAUUACAUUAAAAUUUUAGUAUCCAAUUCAACUCUUAUAAUGGUGAGAAUAUAAAUUAUUAUUGAAUUAUUACUUUGAUUACUUGAAAAUGAUUUUGAUUUUUAAAUUAAGUUGAUUUUGAUAAUAUAUUUGAGUAAUUCAUGUUUAUUUUUCUUAAUACAAAGAAGGGUUCUAAUGCAGAAAUAUGAUUGAGUUUCUAAAUGGAUUUUGCUAAUUAAAUAAAUAUUAUAAUUAUCGUUUCAAUCAUAAUCCGUGUCUAUCAACCCAAAUUGGUUUUCUUGAGGUAGAAUAUGUCAUGUUCAUUUCAAAACUAUGUUUUCGAAAAUCAUUUAAGAUUCUAAAGAGUUCAUCAAGUUCUAGCUUAUUCUAGCGAGUGGUAUGUUAAUUUAAGUGUUUCUUGUCGAGGUAAUAUAUUGGAGGAUGGUGAAAGAGAUUUGAAUCAUGGAGUGAGGUGGAGAAUGAUGAUCGAAGGAGAUUUGGGAUUUAUGUGUUGCAAUGCGAGAGUUAAAAUGUUUUGCAGGUAGCAAGAGUUAGGUCUCAGUUCAGAUUCAAGGUUCGUAGAGUUCUCUAAUGGCAUUAUGUAUCCAAGGUUGGAUUGUGGAUUCGCCAAAUGUAAUUUAGCUCCUAGAGUUUGUUAAUGGGCUGUAUAAUUUCUUCUUAAAGCUUUUUAGUUUAUAUUUUGUGUGUUAUAUAUCUGUAUUGGAGUCGUAGUUAAAGUUAAGUUUCUUUGUUUUAAAGUUAAAUGUUCUUAGAAGUAGCUCAUUAAGAGUAGGUUGUUGCAGUGACACCCUGGUGAUGUGGCGGGAUAUGUUAUAUGUUGGAAUGAUGUCAUUGAAGCAGGUGAAAGAGAAUUUGACGUAAUUUCCUAAACA